CCUACGGGGGGCAGCAGUGGGGAAUAUUGCACAAUGGGGGAAACCCUGAUGCAGCCAUGCCGCGUGUGUGAAGAAGGCCUUCGGGUUGUAAAGCACUUUCAGCGAGGAGGCGUUACUCGCAGAAGAAGCACCGGCUAACUCCGUGCCAGCAGCCGCGGUAAUACGGAGGGUGCAAGCGUUAAUCGGAAUUACUGGGCGUAAAGCGCACGCAGGCGGUUGGAUAAGUUAGAUGUGAAAGCCCCGGGCUCAACCUGGGAAUUGCAUUUAAAACUGUCCAGCUAGAGUCUUGUAGAGGGGGGUAGAAUUCCAGGUGUAGCGGUGAAAUGCGUAGAGAUCUGGAGGAAUACCGGUGGCGAAGGCGGCCCCCUGGACAAGCUGACGCUCAGGUGCGAAAGCGUGGGGAGCAAACAGGAUUAGAUACCCGUGUAGUC
rnacentral:rRNA from 1 species